GAUGAACGCUGGCGGCGUGCUUAACACAUGCAAGUCGAACGAAGCAUUUAGGACAGAUUACUUCGGUUUGAAGUUCUUUAUGACUGAGUGGCGGACGGGUGAGUAACGCGUGGGUAACCUGCCUUGUACUGGGGGAUAGCAGCUGGAAACGGCUGGUAAUACCGCAUAAGCGCACAAUGUUGCAUGACAUGGUGUGAAAAACUCCGGUGGUAUAAGAUGGACCCGCGUCUGAUUAGCUAGUUGGUGAGAUAACAGCCCACCAAGGCGACGAUCAGUAGCCGACCUGAGAGGGUGACCGGCCACAUUGGGACUGAGACACGGCCUAGACUCCUACGGGAGGCAGCAGUGGGGAAUAUUGCACAAUGGAGGAAACUCUGAUGCAGCGACGCCGCGUGAGUGAAGAAGUAAUUCGUUAUGUAAAGCUCUAUCAGCAGGGAAGAUAGUGACGGUACCUGACUAAGAAGCUCCGGCUAAAUACGUG
rnacentral:rRNA from 1 species